rnacentral:misc_RNA from 1 species
UCGGCCUCCGGCCGCCUGCUCAGGUGGGAUCUGGGGUUCCGAGAAGGGGAGGAGAUGGGAGAUGAAGGAGGAGAACUGAGAUUUGUAGGGAGCGAUGGUGGUGGAGAAGGUGGAGGAGGUGGUGAAGAUGGUGGCGGCGGAGUUGCUGGAGGGACUGAAGGCGAGGAAGGCGGUGAAGAGAAUGAAUGCGGCGACGAAGCCGUAGGUGAAGAACUUGGCGCGGCGGGCGGUGAUGGGUGGAAGGAGGAUUUUGAGGUCGGAGGAGAGCUUCGA